UGGGGGAUAUUGCACAAUGGGGGGAACCCGUGAUGCAGCGACGCCGCGUGAGCGAUGAAGUAUUUCGGUAUGUAAAGCUCUAUCAGCAGGGAAGAAAAUGACGGUACCUGACUAAGAAGCCCCGGCUAACUACGUGCC
rnacentral:rRNA from 1 species